rnacentral:rRNA from 1 species
ACUCCUACGGGAGGCUGCAGUGGGGAAUAUUGCGCAAUGGGGGAAACCCUGACGCAGCAACGCCGCGUGAAGGAUGAAGGUUUUCGGAUUGUAAACUUCUUUGAUUGGGGACGAAGAAAUGACGGUACCCAAAAAACAAGCCACGGCUAACUACGUGCCAGCAGCCGCGGUAAUACGUAGGUGGCGAGCGUUGUCCGGAAUUACUGGGUGUAAAGGGCGUGUAGGCGGGAAUGUAAGUCAGAUGUGAAAUUCCAGGGCUCAACCCUGGCGCUGCAUCUGAAACUAUGUUUCUUGAGUGCUGGAGAGGAAAGCGGAAUUCCUAGUGUAGCGGUGAAAUGCGUAGAUAUUAAGAGGAACACCAGUGGCGAAGGCGGCUUUCUGGACAGUAACUGACGCUGAGGCGCGAAAGCGUGUGGGAGCACACAGGAUUAGAUACCCUGGUAGUCCACGCUGUAAACGAUGGAUACUAUGUGUAGGAGGUAUCGACCCCUUCUGUGCCGCAGUUAACACAAUAAGUAUCCCACCUGGGGA